rnacentral:rRNA from 1 species
AGUCGAGCGGACGGAUGGGAGCUUGCUCCCUGAAGUCAGCGGCGGACGGGUGAGUAACACGUGGGCAACCUGCCUGUAAGACUGGGAUAACUUCGGGAAACCGGAGCUAAUACCGGAUAAUGCAUAACCUCUCAUGAGGCUAUGCUGAAAGAUGGUUUCGGCUAUCACUUACAGAUGGGCCCGCGGCGCAUUAGCUAGUUGGUGAGGUAACGGCUCACCAAGGCAACGAUGCGUAGCCGACCUGAGAGGGUGAUCGGCCACACUGGGACUGAGACACGGCCCAGACUCCUACGGGAGGCAGCAGUAGGGAAUCUUCCGCAAUGGACGAAAGUCUGACGGAGCAACGCCGCGUGAGUGAUGAAGGUUUUCGGAUCGUAAAACUCUGUUGUUAGGGAAGAACAAGUGCCGGAGUAACUGCCGGCACCUUGACGGUACCUAACCAGAAAGCCACGGCUAACUACGUGCCAGCAGCCGCGGUAAUACGUAGGUGGCAAGCGUUGUCCGGAAUUAUUGGGCGUAAAGCGCGCGCAGGCGGUCUCUUAAGUCUGAUGUGAAAGCCCACGGCUCAACCGUGGAGGGUCAUUGGAAACUGGGGGACUUGAGUGCAGAAGAGGAAAGUGGAAUUCCACGUGUAGCGGUGAAAUGCGUAGAGAUGUGGAGGAACACCAGUGGCGAAGGCGACUUUCUGGUCUGUAACUGACGCUGAGGCGCGAAAGCGUGGGGAGCAAACAGGAUUAGAUACCCUGGUAGUCCACGCCGUAAACGAUGAGUGCUAAGUGUUAGAGGGUUUCCGCCCUUUAGUGCUGCAGCAAACGCAUUAAGCACUCCGCCUGGGGAGUACGGCCGCAAGGCUGAAACUCAAAGGAAUUGACGGGGGCCCGCACAAGCGGUGG